rnacentral:rRNA from 1 species
UCGAACGAGAUCUUCGGAUCUAGUGGCGCACGGGUGAGUAACGCGUGGAAACCUACCAUUCUGUACGGAAUAACGCUUGGAAACGAUCGCUAAUACCGUAUACGCCCUGUGGGGGAAAGGUCCGCCGCAGAAUGAGGGGUCCGCGUCCGAUUAGCUAGUUGGUAAGGUAAUGGCUUACCAAGGCGACGAUCGGUAGCUGGUCUGAGAGGAUGAUCAGCCACACUGGGACUGAGACACGGCCCAGACUCCUACGGGAGGCAGCAGUGGGGAAUAUUGGACAAUGGGGGCAACCCUGAUCCAGCAAUGCCGCGUGUGUGAUGAAGGCCUUAGGGUUGUAAAACACUUUCAAUGGUGAAGAUGAUGACGGUAACCAUAGAAGAAGCCCCGGCUAACUUCGUGCCAGCAGCCGCGGUAAUACGAAGGGGGCGAGCGUUGUUCGGAAUUACUGGGCGUAAAGGGCGCGCA